rfam:Euroglyphus maynei isolate Arlian Lab scaffold7133, whole genome shotgun sequence.
AAAACGGCUCUUUUCAGAGCCACAAUUUAUUAAUCGAGAAGUCGAG